rnacentral:SRP_RNA from 2 species
UCGUGCUAGGCGGGGAGUUAGCGGUGCCCUCGACCCGAAAUCCGCUUAGCGGGGCUGAAUUCCUCUUCGAGGGCUUGGGUGGGAUCGGGUCGUCGUAGCUUCGGACGCCGAUUGGACACCGCGCAACAGACGAAUACGAACCCCGUCAGGUCCGGAAGGAAGCAGCGGUAAGUAUUGCGGUCUGUGUCGUGGUCUACUCUAAUCAGGGGUCCGCGGGCAGGCGGUUCGGUCCUGACCGGUUCGACAAGAGGUGCACGG